UGGCGGGGGGCACUAACCCUGGCCAAGUUCGAGCGGUAACAUUUUUUAGCUUGCUAGAAGAUGACGAGCGGCGGACGGGUGAUUAAUGCUUGGGAACUGCCUUGAGGUGGGGGACAACCAUUGGAAACGAUGGCUAAUACCGCAUAAUGUCUACGGACCAAAGGGGGCUUCGGCUCUCGCCUUUAGAUUGGCCCAAGUGGGAUUAGCUAGUUGGUGAGGUAAAGGCUCACCAAGGCGACGAUCCCUAGCUGGUUUGAGAGGAUGAUCAGCCACACUGGAACUGAGACACGGUCCAGACUCCUACGGGAGGCAGCAGUGGGGAAUAUUGCACAAUGGGCGCAAGCCUGAUGCAGCCAUGCCGCGUGUGUGAAGAAGGCCUUCGGGUUGUAAAGCACUUUCAGUCAGGAGGAAAGGUUAGUAGUUAAUACCUGCUAGCUGUGACGUUACUGACAAAAGAAGCACCGGCUAACUCCGUGCCAGC
rnacentral:rRNA from 1 species